CCUACGGGCGGCAGCAGUGAGGAAUCUUCCUCAAUGGGCGAAAGCCUGACGGAGCAACGCCGCGUGAUCGAAUAAAGGCCUACGGGUUGUAAAGAUCUUUUGACAGGGACGAAUAAGCAAUACGAAUAGUUUUGUGUAUGAAGUUACCUAUUUAGGAAGCUCCGGCUAACUACGUGCCAGCAGCCGCGGUAAGACGUAGGGAGCAAGCGUUGGCCUGAAUUACUUGGCGUAAAGGGCGCGUAGGUGGGGGCUUAAGUCAGGUGUGAAAACUUCGGGCUCAACCUGGAGACUGCACUUGAAACUGGGUGUCGUGAGGGCAGGAGAGGAAAGUGGAAUUCAUAGUGUAGUGGUGAAAUGCGUAGAUAUUAGGAGGAACACCAGUGGCGAAGGCGACUUUCUGGACUGUCACUGACGUUGAGGCGCGAAAGCGUGGGUAGCGAACGGGAUUAGAUACCCUUGUAGUC
rnacentral:rRNA from 1 species